CCUACGGGUGGCUGCAGUGGGGAAUAUUGCACAAUGGGCGCAAGCCUGAUGCAGCCAUGCCGCGUGUGUGAAGAAGGCCUUCGGGUUGUAAAGCACUUUCAGCGGGGAGGAAGGCGUUAAGGUUAAUAACCUUGGCGAUUGACGUUACCCGCAGAAGAAGCACCGGCUAGCUCCGUGCCAGCAGCCGCGGUAAUACGGAGGGUGCAAGCGUUAAUCGGAAUUACUGGGCGUAAAGCGCACGCAGGCGGUCUGUCAAGUCGGAUGUGAAAUCCCGGGCUCAACCUGGGAACUGCAUUCGAAACUGGCAGGCUAGAGUCGUGUAGAGGGGGGUAGAAUUCCAGGUGUAGCGGUGAAAUGCGUAGAGAUCUGGAGGAAUACCGGUGGCGAAGGCGGCCCCCCGGACAAAGACUGACGCUCAGGUGCGAAAGCGUGGGGAGCAAACAGGAUUAAUACCCCAGUAGUC
rnacentral:rRNA from 1 species